rnacentral:lncRNA from 1 species
AGAAAUCUUUAAUUGCCCAAUAUAGCAUUAUAGAUUUGUAAGAUAUUUUUUGUGUUUUGUGUCAGAAACUCAUAUUAUGUUAAGAAUUUGAUCACAAUCUAAAUUCAGAGCUGUAUCAAGCUUGAAUGUUGUGUCCAUACUUGCCCCAACUGUUCAGGGUUUGACUUCUGUGGUCGUAUAAAGCUGCACCCUGUGGAGCACCUGCUUAAAUCGUGGAACUGCAUUGGUGGUAGUGUACUUGCCACAAGUGUGAAGGUCUAUAGUUUUAUCCCAGCCAGGUUCAAAUAGUGUUUUCUGGUACAAAUAGUGUUUGCUAGCAAGCUCGGAUAUGUGGCAAAUAGUUUAUGAAUUAAUGGCCAAAACAAGCAUUUUUAGAGUAACAGAC